GCCAGGUGUGGUGGCGUGUGCCUGUAAUCCCAGCAACUCGGGAGGCUGAGACAGGAGAAUUGCUUGAGUCCGGGAGGUGGAGCUUGCAGUGAGCCGAGAUUGUGCCACUGCACUCCAGCCUGGGCGACAGAGCAAGACUCCGUCUCAA
rfam:Homo sapiens chromosome 1, GRCh38 reference primary assembly.